AUGACAUGUGGCAACAUCUAGAUCGACCAUUAGUCGGACAGUUCGACGCACCUACUCCUGAUCGUGCCACCUCAUCGUUAUCUGCAUGAACAGCUCCAACCUAAUGAUGUUCGGACACGUGGCCAAGAUCUACUAGUCAGAAUCAAAUAAUCCAGCAUCGAAUUAUCUUCCUGAAACGACGUCCGGUACCGAAUUGUCUUAUCGAAAUGACAGCCCAAUAAUGAUUUUGCAGCUACCAAAAUGACACAAUAGCUAGAGAUCUCUCGUACUACAAAAAAUUAUAAAGACUAGCAGCCA
rnacentral:lncRNA from 1 species